CGGGGGGGCGAAGCGUUGUUCGGAAUUACUGGGCGUAAAGGGCUCGUAGGCGGCCAACUAAGUCAGACGUGAAAUCCCUAGGCUCAACCUAGGAACUGCGUCUGAUACUGGAUGGCUUGAAUCCGGGAGAGGGAUGCAGAAUUCCAGGUGUAGCGGUGAAAUGCGUAGAUAUCUGGAGGAAUACCGGUGGCGAAGGCGGCAUCCUGGACCGGCAUUGACGCUGAGGAGCGAAAGCCAGGGGAGCAAACGGGAUUAGAUACCCCGGUAGUCCUGGCCCUAAACGAUGAAUGUUUGGUGUGACGGGUAUCGAUCCCUGUCGUGCCGAAGCUAACGCAUUAAACAUUCCGCCUGGGGAGUACGGUCGCAAGGCUG
rnacentral:rRNA from 1 species